AGAUUGAACGCUGGCGGCAUGCCUUACACAUGCAAGUCGAACGGCAGCACGGGAGCAAUCCUGGUGGCGAGUGGCGAACGGGUGAGUAAUACAUCGGAACGUGCCCAGUUGUGGGGGAUAGCCCGGCGAAAGCCGGAUUAAUACCGCAUACGACCUACGGGUGAAAGCGGGGGAUCGCAAGACCUCGCGCUAUUGGAGCGGCCGAUGUCGGAUUAGCUUGUUGGUAGGGUAAAAGCCUACCAAGGCUA
rnacentral:rRNA from 1 species